UGGGAAUUGAACUCAGGACCUCUGGAAGA
rnacentral:piRNA from 2 species